rnacentral:rRNA from 1 species
UUAAUUGAAGAGUUUGAUCAUGGCUCAGAUUGAACGCUGGCGGCAGGCCUAACACAUGCAAGUCGAGCGGCAGCGACUUAACUGAACCUUCGGGGAACGUUAAGGGCGGCGAGCGGCGGACGGGUGAGUAAUGCCUGGGAAUAUGCCUCAGUGUGGGGGAUAACUAUUGGAAACGAUAGCUAAUACCGCAUAAUCUCCGAUCUUUUACGAGAUGGGAGCAAAGCGGGGGACCUUCGGGCCUCGCGCGCUGAGAUUAGCCCAGGUGGGAUUAGCUUGUUGGUGAGGUAAUGGCUCACCAAGGCAACGAUCCCUAGCUGGUCUGAGAGGAUGAUCAGCCACACUGGAACUGAGACACGGUCCAGACUCCUACGGGAGGCAGCAGUGGGGAAUAUUGCACAAUGGGGGAAACCCUGAUGCAGCCAUGCCGCGUGUGUGAAGAAGGCCUUCGGGUUGUAAAGCACUUUCAGUAGGGAGGAAGGUAGUGUAGUUAACACCUGCAUUAUUUGACGUUACCUACAGAAGAAGCACCGGCUAACUCCGUGCCAGCAGCCGCGGUAAUACGG